rnacentral:rRNA from 1 species
UACGUAGGGUCCGAGCGUUGUCCGGAAUUACUGGGCGUAAAGAGCUCGUAGGUGGUUUGUCGCGUUGUUCGUGAAAACUCACAGCUCAACUGUGGGCGUGCGGGCGAUACGGGCAGACUAGAGUACGGCAGGGGAGAUGGUAAUUCCUGGUGUAGCGGUGAAUGCGCAGAUAUCAGGAGGAACACCGGUGGCGAAGGCGGGAUCUCUGGGCAGUACUGACGCUGAGGAGCGAAAGCGUGGGGAGCGAACAGGAUUAGAACCUCGGUAGUCAGUCCAAGACCAUCUCGUCGA